CACAAACGCAAAAUUAAAAACUUCCCAGCGUGUACCAGCCAGAAUAUACCACUGCACCUAUCUCAUGAAAGGGUAUUCUUUUUCCUUCCUUUUUUCUAGGUGAGGAAGUGUUCCUCUCACACAGUUGACGUCUACUAGCCUGCUGACAGCCGAAGGAAAUUAUGGCCCAGAAAGUGACUCAAAUUGAAGUCUAUCACUGAGCCCUCUUCUCCAGUCCACCCUUUCCCCACCUCCACCACUUUAAGCAAGCAGGGAACUCUUGUUUUCUUUUGGCUUCCAGCGCUACCCCAAGCUCCAACUUCCGAGGGCCAGAGGCCCUCUCGAGCCACAGGAGGGCAGCCCGGAGAACAGGCUCGGGCCCAUACUCCAGAGGUGGCGCUGGCUGCAGCCAGAAGGGGGAAGAGGGGUGGGGGGAACCCGCCAGGUCUUCCCUCUGCCUCUGAAUCCCGAGUCGUGUAGGGGCUGCAUCUUGGCAUCUGCUACGCGUGGCCGGGUAAGAACAGCUCCCAGGUAAAAAAGCUUCACACUCGAAACGCUGAGUCUGAAAAAACCACCCCCGCCGAGGCGAGGCAGUUGUGAGCGGGAUGCCUGAGAAGUGGGAGGUGAAUGUCCUCGGGAGGGCCCCCCCGGUGCAGCUUUCCCCGGAGGCUGAGGCUGCUGCCAGCGGGGACAUCUGCUUUCUUACACUCCAGCCUGGCUCACCCCGCCCCCUCAGCCCCGGGUUGCGUGGUUAUUUUACCAACACGGGGGGAGGGAGAGCUCGAGGAGGUAGAAAAGGGGUGGAUGGAAGCUCGGGAGAUGUUCUUCCCACUCCCCCACGUCCCCUCCUUUUUUCUUCACAUCUUUUAACCUUCAAGGUAAAGACUUUAUAAAUAUGAAACGGUGAGCGUGUCCGCUGGCUCCCAGGCCCGCCUUCUGCUCGCCGGGCUUUCGGGUGCGGGGCCUUGCCCUCCUCUCCAGCCUCCCCCGAGGCGGCCCGGGUUUCGGCGGUGCCGCCAGGCGCAGGGGCCGGCCGGGUGCGCCCAGCCUGUGGCGCCUGCUCUCCCGGGCUGCUGCCUCGACAGCUGCUUGUAGCUACAGUAAUUAGACUGUCAGUGCUUGUUAGAGGAGAGAGGGGAAAACACGCUUCUGACAGCAGAUUCCGAGACUCCCCAGUUUGUUAAUUUCUAAGAGAUCUUUAAAGCAUUAAUUGAGGUCUCCCCAACUCUCCCCUCCCGUCCCUCUCCCCUACUCCUCCCUUCCCCAAAAUAUCUUUAGGGGAAGAGAAUUCUCUCCGCGUGGAAGCAGUGUUUCCCGCAAAACUGCAAGCUCGCCCCCAGCUCACGCACACGCACACGAUUUUACAUAUACAUCUAUAUGCACACAUGUAUAGGCGGAAGGUUAACUCGGCAGAGGCCUCGUCCUAAGAGGAACCGGGAUUGCAUUUAAAAUAAUAAUAAUAAUAAUAAAUAAAUAAGUAAACUAGGAAGGAAAGGGGGGAGGGAAGCAGAAGUCGGGAAGAAAAGAGAAAAGCAGCAGGCUGAUUACGAGGUGUCAAAACUGCCAGGAGCAAGAAGGUGAUAGCAAUCAGGGGUGAGAAGAGUGCGGCAUUCGUGCGGGGCAACUAAUUAUCCGUCUCAUUUGAGAAGAGCAGCAUUUGAGGCAGCAGCGUUCGCCUGCUGAACGGUGACAGAUUGGCGCGGAGGAGAGGGGAGGUGUUAAAACAAUGGAGCCGGGCGCGCGAGCGCUGCUGCAUGCUAAUCAGCCCUCCCUCCGCCUGCCUGCCGCGCUCCCUCCUUCCUCCCGGCCUCCCUCCUCCGCGCUCCCCCUCCCGCCUGCGGCGCUCCCUCCUUUCCAGCGGGCCUGCGGCCGCCACCACCGGCUUCCUGCUCCCUCGCUUUCCCGCGCGUCCUUCCCGCCUCUGGCACUGGAGCCCGGGCCGGCCUCAGCGGCCGGCGAGCCCCAGCGCUGUCCUCCGCGGACGUCCUCGCUACCCGGGCCGCACGCGAGCGACCGGGCAGCGCUGCCCUGCGAGGCGUUCGGACUGAGGGCCCGCGCCCCGGGCGCCUCUUGGGAGUGGGUCUUGGAGAAGAGGCCGGGGAACCUACAUUCUCGCGCCCACCGCUUUCUGCUGGCGAAUUGAACGUGGUGGGCAGCGAUUGGGAAGCCAAGCGAAGUCAGGAAGGGCGAGGGGCGGCCAGGGGUGGGGAGAGAGUCGGGGCAAGAAGGCGGAGAAGGUCCGCAGACCGAUGGCAGCUGCCCCCCCACCCGAUGCUGACGCCGCCCGGAGCAGCCGAACGACCCCAGCAGUGUCUCCCUGGUAGAGCCCCGCAAACCCAGCUGGGUUGGAACUAGACGUGCACGAUUUCUUAAGCACCCGGAGGAAGACAAAGGGCCUGAGCGUUAGUUGUGCGUCUAAGGCUUGACCUCCGACCCCAAGACUAGACUAAUAGGCUUCCAGACCCCUAGAGCUACCCCUCUCAGCUGUCGCGGGGGAGAGAAAGCCUUUAAGGAACCCGCCACCCUCCCUCUGCCCUCCGCUGCGGUGACCUGAAGCCGGAGGGGCCGGGGCCUUUCAGGCAGCACAGCUUCCCCACCUGGCUGCUCCGCUCCACGCUCUGGCCUGGGAGAAGUUGGUCAAAGCCGCAGGGCCGUGGCUGCCCUUGGACAAAGAAUCCACCAGACCCUGAGUCUCUGCUGCAUGGGGUCUCCUUACACCUGUUGAGGCAGGCCCGGGACCUGAGUUUCUUCCUGCUUACUGAAUUUAAAAGCUGAUUGUUGAGCUUAAAGCGUUUGCUUAAAAUACGCUAAUAAUGUUCCUACGUUUUUACUAUUACCGAUUUACAUAAACUACCCUUAGAAAUUAAAAACAUUGAAGCAUUGACAUUCUUAUGGAUUAAGUAGGUUAAGUGAAACACGGGUACGGAGAAAUGGUAGGAAUUUGGGCUGAAUGAGAAUGCAGUUCCUUCUAACGUGUUCCCUGUUAUUUAGCUAACCAGGUGUCCAAAUUAACGUAACAAAACUUCCUUCCCCCAAGCCAUACUUGGAAAGAGAAAGCAGCUGAAAGAUAAUCCAGGCAGUAUAAUUUUUGUUCUGCUGACCUUUAUCGUUGGACAACUUCACACACACAAUUGUUUUAAAAAGAAAUCAAUAUAAAAAUGUGAAAGUUGGAUAAAGCUGUCAUAUAUACGCAAGGCUUUCACUUAUAUUACUCUAUUCUUCUCUAUUUGUAAUGUUUCAUAAUAAAAGUACAACACAUAAAAUGACCUGGGUAAGUUUUGGUAUUUUCUAUCUUCAUCCCUGAUCGAGUCAUAUGAAAAAUUGCACAAACACACAGUGAUUUUUUUUUCCUUUUAGAAUAUGCCCAGGCAUACCAAUACAAUAGCUGGAUGCAAAAUUGUAAGGAUCUAUUGAAAUAAUACAGAAUGUUUGGAAGUAUUAAAACUGAGAAUUCUUAAAAGAGUUGUAUAUAAAGAAUUGUGUGCAAAUAAAUGUUAAUGAUUUUUGGUUUCCACUCUUUGGAAAACCACUAAGAAGACCUCUCUGCCCUCAGAGAAUCACAGAAUUUUUAGAGCUAGAGUACUAUCUGGCAUUUGGAAAAUUCCCUGGCAUCUGAUUCUGUUAAAGUAGCAAUCUAUGGAACAGAAAAAAAAAUUAAAUUUACAUUUAUUAAUGUAAACUUGGAGAUUCAGAUGCUCCAUCAGCUUCAAAAUUAAUGCAAUUUAUUAACUAUUCAUCAGCCUUUUUUUCAUCAGCCAAUUCUAUAGAAGCAAAGUGUUUCUGAUGAGAUAAACAUAGAGUUCAAAUAAAUGUAGUUCAAUUCCUUGUUGUGUUAUGUAUUUCUAAUAUACAAUCAAAUUCUUUACCUUCCAACAACUUGGUUAUUAGGGAUUUGGUAUAAUUUCUUCUCAGCCUAUAGACUUCACAAAUUUGCCUGAUUGUUUUAAUGGUGUAUUUGCAGAUAAGUUUUUAUUUGCACAUAAGGACAAAAAGGUGAAGUGAAAUUUGGUCCCAAUGGAAACCUGUUAGGUUCCCUGAACAUAUGGCUCAUUGGGCUGUUACUUCCUUUUUGAGAUCAUUUUCCAAGAUUUUUUAAUAUAUACAUCAAUUUGACACCAGUUAUAAAGAAAAUAUAUUGGCUUUGAAGAUGUCUCCACCUGGGGCAUAUCUCUCAAUAACAAACCAUCUAGUCAGGCGUACCUCUGAAUAUACAGGUGUCCAGUCUCAAGAACAGGUCAUAAUUUGAAACUAGUCGGAACUGACAGUUGAUUUUACACUGUCUUUGAAAUUAGUUCUUUGGAUUCUUAGAAUGCCACAGUGAUUUGAUUAGUACAAUUUAGGGGUGACUGCUUAAAACUCUUUUUAUGGAAGUUUGUGCAUUUGGAACCCACAGUAUGACAAUGAUUUCUCUUAGUAAAUACAAGUGAUCUAAGUCUCAUUUAUUGAAAGUGUGGUGCUAGCUUAAGACUUAAGGGGAAAAUCACAGCACUUUGAAAAAGAUGUAAAUGUUCCAUUGGUAAAAAAGGGAGGAAAACCGUGCUAAAACAUGUGCCUCUUUCCAUUAUGCUUAAUUUACUAUUCAAGACAAGUUUUUCCUAAUAAGCUCUAUUGUUUCUUUCUGUUUUGUAAAAUUUAAUAUGUGUGAGACAAAAACCAGAUUCAGAAUGUGAAUGAAGUCUGUUUAGCAAAAGCCUGUUGGAGCUUACAGUUCAAGGAAGGCCUCAAAAUAAAAGACACAUCACCUCAUGACACUGACAGGAUAUAUGGAAGCAAGUCUCUUAGGUGGCUUCUGGAACCAGUUACAAUUAGAUUGCUAACUUCCUCCAGCCUCAGAGUGAAUUCAUACACUUAGAGUGUAGCAAACACUAGAGUAUUCAGAAUGAUGAUGCUAUGUAUAUUUACCAAAUAACUCUAGCUUUUGCUUUACUGCUGUUCUCUUCUUUCUGAGGUCUCAAUGCCCACAUAGCACUGAAGUACAAGUUCUCAAACAUGUUAAGCCCUUGCCCUGUCUAUGCAGGGUUGGUUGUCUUUAACUCACUCACACUUCUCUAGAGUAUUUGCACCUGAUCAUGGAAGCCCUUCAUGUUGAACUGGUCUCCCUUAUUCAAAUAUCCCCUUGGGAUCUGGACCGCCUGAAUAACCUGGAAUGUGCCCAUGCUUUCUUUGUUUAGGGCUAUAUCAUGAAUAAAUUUUAAAAUAAAUUGCUUACAUAUAGCCUUUGGAAGCAAGGUACAAAAGAUGAGUUAUUGCUUUUUAAUUCAAGGAAUAAUUGUUUUAGAAAUAACAAAAUCUUAUUAAAGAUUGCCUAAUCCAACUUUCUGUGUGGAGGGAAAAAAAAAAAAAAAUCUACAACUCUGGUGGCACAGAAGGCUUGGGUCACUGCUAUGGGGAGGGACUGAUCCCUUGCCUGAGAACUUCCACAUGCCACGGAUGA
rnacentral:lncRNA from 1 species